rnacentral:rRNA from 1 species
GGAAUCUUCCACAAUGGACGCAAGUCUGAUGGAGCAACGCCGCGUGAGUGAAGAAGGUCUUCGGAUCGUAAAACUCUGUUGUUAGAGAAGAACACGAGUGAGAGUAACUGUUCAUUCGAUGACGGUAUCUAACCAGCAAGUCACGGCUAACUACGUCCAG